rnacentral:rRNA from 1 species
UACGUAGGGUGCGAGCGUUGUCCGGAAUUAUUGGGCGUAAAGGGCUCGUAGGCGGUUUGUCGCGUCGGGAGUGAAAUCCACUGGCUUAACUGGUGGCUUGCUUUCGAUACGGGCAGACUGGAGGCAUGCAGGGGAGAACGGAAUUCCUGGUGUAGCGGUGAAAUGCGCAGAUAUCAGGAGGAACACCGGUGGCGAAGGCGGUCUGCUGGGCAGUUGCUGACACUGAGGCGCGACAGCGUGGGGAGCAAACAGG